GAUUAACGCUAGCGGCAGGCCUAAUACAUGCAAGUCGAACGGUAACAGGUGUAGCAAUACAUGCUGACGAGUGGCGCACGGGUGCGUAACACGUAUGCAACCUACCUAUAACUGGGGAAUAGCCUUCCGAAAGGAAGAUUAACACCGCAUAACAUCACGAAACGGCAUCGUUUUGUGAUCAAACCUCCGGGGGUUAUAGAUGGGCAUGCGUAACAUUAGCUAGUUGGUGAGGUAAUGGCUCACCAAGGCUACGAUGUUUAGGGGGUCUGAGAGGAUGAUCCCCCACACUGGUACUGGGACACGGACCAGACUCUGACGGGAGGCAGCAGUAAGGAAUAUUGGACGAUGGGGGCAACCCUGAUACAGCCAUGCCGCGUGAAGGAUGAAGGCCCUCUGGGUUGUAAACUUCUUUUGUACGGGAAUAAACCCCUUUACGUGUAGAGGGUUGAAUGUACCGUAAGAAUAAGGAUCGGCUAACUUCGUGCCAGCAGCCGCGGUAA
rnacentral:rRNA from 1 species